rnacentral:rRNA from 1 species
UACGGAGGGUCCAAGCGUUAUCCGGAUUCACUGGGUUUAAAGGGUGCGUAGGUGGUCUGAUAAGUCAGUGGUGAAAUCCUGCAGCUUAACUGCAGAACUGCCAUUGAAACUGUCAGGCUUGAGUGUCGUUGAGGCGAGUGGAAUGUAACAUGUAGCGGUGAAAUGCAUAGAUAUGUUACAGAACACCAAUUGUGAAGACAGCUCGCUGGACGAUAACUGACACUGAGGCACGAAAGCGUGGGUAGCGAAC